rnacentral:rRNA from 1 species
UACGGAGGGGGCAAGCGUUGUUCGGAGUUACUGGGCGUAAAGGGCGCGUAGGCGGUGCAGCAAGUCAGGCGUGAAAGCCCCGGGCUUAACCUGGGAAUUGCGCUUGAUACUGCUGCGCUAGAGAUCGGGAGAGGAUGGCGGAAUUCCCAGUGUAGAGGUGAAAGUCGUAGAUAUUGGGAAGAACACCGGUGGCGAAGGCGGCCAUCUGGACCGCAUCUGACGCUGAGGCGCGAAAGCGUGGGGAGCAAACAGG